rnacentral:rRNA from 1 species
GACGAACGCUGGCGGCGUGCUUAACACAUGCAAGUCGAACGGAAAGGCCUGCAGCUUGCUGCGGGUACUCGAGUGGCGCACGGGUGAGUAACACGUGGGUGAUCUGCCUUGCACUUCGGGAUAAGCUUGGGAAACUGGGUCUAAUACCGGAUAGGACAGCUGUUUAGUGUCAGUUGUGGAAAGUUUUUUCGGUGCAAGAUGAGCUCGCGGCCUAUCAGCUUGUUGGUGGGGUAAUGGCCUACCAAGGCGUCGACGGGUAGCCGGCCUGAGAGGGUGUACGGCCACAUUGGGACUGAGAUACGGCCCAGACUCCUACGGGAGGCAGCAGUGGGGAAUAUUGCACAAUGGGCGGAAGCCUGAUGCAGCGACGCCGCGUGGGGGAUGAAGGCCUUCGGGUUGUAAACUCCUUUCGACAGGGACGAAGCUUUUGUGACGGUACCUGUAUAAGAAGCACCGGCUAACUACGUG